GAAAUGCGAUAAGUAAUGUGAAUUGCAGAAUUCAGUGAAUCAUCGAAUCUUUGAACGCACAUUGCGCCCGCCAGUAUUCUGGCGGGCAUGCCUGUUCGAGCAUCAUUACAACCCUCAGGCCCCCGGGCCUGGCGUUGGGGAUCGGCGGAAGCCCCCUGCGGGCACAACGCCGUCCCCCAAAUACAGUGGCGGUCCCGCCGCAGCUUCCAUUGCGUAGUAGCUAACACCUCGCAACUGGAGAGCGGCGCGGCUACGCCGUAAAACACCCAACUUCUGAAUGUUGACCUCGAAUCAGGUAGGAAUACCCGCUGAACUUAAGC
rnacentral:misc_RNA from 1 species